AUGACCCUUUUGCAGAAUGUGCUACUAUACCCCCGUUUCUAAAAACAACUAUACUAGAUUUUUCCAUAUUCAACUCUCAUCCCCAUGUGUCACAAACUGUAAGCAUGCUAUUC